rnacentral:rRNA from 1 species
CCUUGCCAGCCCGCUCAGAAACUUAAGGAAUUGACGGGGGCCCGCACAAGCGGUGGAGCAUGUGGUUUAAUUCGAUGAUACGCGAGGAACCUUACCUGGGCUCAAAUGUAUGUUGACGUAUUCUGAAAGGGAUACUUCUUCGGACAAUAUACAAGGUGCUGCAUGGUUGUCGUCAGCUCGUGCCGUGAGGUGUCGGGUUAAGUCCCAUAACGAGCGCAACCCCUAUCAUUAGUUGCCAUCAGGUCAAGCUGGGGACUCUAAUGAAACUGCCUACGCAAGUAGUGAGGAAGGUGGGGAUGACGUCAAAUCAGCACGGCCCUUACGUCCAGGGCUACACACGUGCUACAAUGGCCGGCACAACGGGAAGCGACGGCGCGAGUCGUAGCGGAUCCCUCAAAGCCGGUCCCAGUUCGGAUUGCAGUCUGCAACUCGACUGCAUGAAGCCGGAAUCGCUAGUAAUCGUGGAUCAGCCAAGCCGCGGUGAAUACGUUCCCGGGCCUU